rnacentral:antisense_RNA from 1 species
CUAUACGGGCGGGCUGCGGCGGGGAGGGCUUCGGCCCUGCCGCCUUGCUUGUUCGUCGGUCUUCCAACCUCGCCGUGUGCCCACCCACCCCU